AUUGAACGCUGGCGGCAGGCCUAACACAUGCAAGUCGAGCGGAUGAAGGGAGCUUGCUCCUGGAUUCAGCGGCGGACGGGUGAGUAAUGCCUAGGAAUCUGCCUGGUAGUGGGGGAUAACGUCCGGAAACGGGCGCUAAUACCGCAUACGUCCUGAGGGAGAAAGUGGGGGAUCUUCGGACCUCACGCUCUCAGAUGAUCCUAGGUCGGAUUAGCUAGUUGGUGGGGUAAAGGCCUACCAAGGCGACGAUCCGUAACUGGUCUGAGAGGAUGAUCAGUCACACUGGAACUGAGACACGGUCCAGACUCCUACGGGAGGCAGCAGUGGGGAAUAUUGGACAAUGGGCGAAAGCCUGAUCCAGCCAUGCCGCGUGUGUGAAGAAGGUCUUCGGAUUGUAAAGCACUUUAAGUUGGGAGGAAGGGCAGUAAGUUAAUACCUUGCUGUUUUGACGUUACCAACAGAAUAAGCACCGGCUAACUUCGUG
rnacentral:rRNA from 1 species